AUACGGAGGGUGCAAGCGUUAAUCGGAAUUACUGGGCGUAAAGCGUGCGCAAGCGGUUUGUUAAGUCAGAUGUGAAAGCCCCGGGCUCAACCUGGGAACUGCAUUUGAAACUGGCAAACUAGAGUGUGGUAGAGGGAAGUGGAAUUCCUCAUGUAGCGGUGAAAUGCGUAGAUAUGAGGAGGAACACCAGUGGCGAAGGCGACUUCCUGGACCAACACUGACGCUCAUGUACGAAAGCGUGGGGAGCGAACAGGAUUAGAAACCCCUGUAGUCC
rnacentral:rRNA from 1 species